CUUUGCCAUUCCACAAACAGCUUACGAGCAAUAACAGAGUCACAAAACAAUGACUGCCUAUCUCCCUGAGGAAGUGGUGAUAAACAUACUCUCACGCCUACCUCCAAAAUCCCUAAUCCGAUUCAAGUGCGUCUCCAAAACCUGGCUCUCUCUCAUCGGAACCCCAGAUUUGAUCACUCGAAACCUCAUCAACAACUCCACUCUCAUCUCUAAAUACGAAGACCCCAAUAACCCUCUCUUCUUCCUCGUCAAAGCCACAGACAAAAACGAAACCUCGAAGCACACAUUCUCGUUCCUAUCCUACGACAACCUCGAUCCAGAAUACACAUCCGAAGUCAUCCUUAACCUCCCACAACCAAACCAUGGUCUCAACCUCGACAUCGUCGGUUCCUCCUCCGAUGGUCUCCUCUGUCUCUGUUUCGCAAGCACCAUCUACCUCUGGGACCCCACCACGUCAUCAGUGCUCGAGCCUCUCCCUCCUAUAACCCCUCGCGAAAUGGUCAAUGUCGAUUUCCACAGUGUUGGGUUCGGAUUCGAUUCCACAUCCAAUGACUUCAAGGUCGUGAGGCUUCUCAAUGUUCAUUUCAGGUCCGCGACCAAUUUGCUUCAUAUAAGUCAAGAAGCGGAAGUGUAUAGCGUCAGCAGUGGUUCGUGGAGGCAGCUGGAUCCUCAGGUUGCUCGCGUGCCUUAUGGGAUUCAUACACAGUCGAGGGUCACAAUGUACUUGGAUGGAAACUUUUUCUGGUGCGCGACCCCGCUUCCAUUAGAUAAUAAUGAGGAUGAGAAGAUUGUUCGCUUCGACUUUGCUAGGGAGGUAUUCAAGUCUACUUCAUUUCCGGACGCUUGUGUUAUUGGGGAUUACUCCAGUUGGAAGACGACUCUCACCGCGUUGAACGGGUCUAUUGCUAUGCUGGUUUAUCCUUUUGGGAAGGAGGUGGAGAUGUUGUGUUUUGAUAUAUGGGUUUUGUUUGAAUUUGGUGUUAGGGAGUCGUGGACUAAGCUUAUUAGAAUUGGACCCUCUUUGGAUUUGGAAAGGCCAUUGGGAUUUUGGGGGUAUGGAAAGAUGUUUAUGGAGAGCAAAGAAGGGCACCUGGUCUUGUAUGAUCCUUCUACAAACACAGGCAAGAUUUUUCCAUUUGAUGGGCUUAAGGGAUCGUUACAAGUUGCUCUCUACACUGAGUUUUGGGAAACAAACGAGGACGAUGGUGAAGACCAAGAGGAAGUGAAUCAAUGAGGUGUGCAAGGAGUGUUACUGGACAUCAUCAUGGUGAUAUUAUAUUUUGAUUCGGGCUUCAUUCUUUGGUAAUAUAAUAAAGAGGUACAAUGCUAACAAAAGUGCCGUGAUUGCUGGGAGAAAAGACACAAUGACUUCAGCUAUAUAAUUCAUGAUAUACUGUAAAUAUCCAAUAUAUAUAUAUAUAUAUAUAUAUAUUUUGUAGCAUUGAGUACUCAAGUGGGUAAAAAUUCACCUGUCAAGAAAAAAAAAUAUAUAUAUAUAUAUAUAUUUAUAUACAUUAUUUUUUUUCUUUUUGGGUAUACUGCGAGAAGAGAAAGAUAUUGUGAUCAGAAAAAGAUUACGAACAAACCUGGGUUGAGAAACAACUAAAGCAUUCUGGGCUAGAGCACAUUUUCAUAAGAAAUGGGUCACACCAUUGGCAGUUCUACGGUUCAAGAAAAGCCCGGAUUUUGAAAUUUUCUUUGCCUGUUAGAAUGAUCAAUUCCCCUUAUUUUUUACUUCAACCCAAAUGGCGUGAUACUAAUGCAUGUAGACUAUCAGACUAUGUGACUGCUUUCUUAAGUAGAUACGUACUUGCUGAGUGGUGACUGCUUUCUUAAGUAUACAACUCACCACUGAUAACUCAAAAUUCAAUGGUGGAAGCUCUUGCUGUUGUUUCUGAAAGGGUAACACUCUAUAUCUUAUAAUAACUGAUUUCAAACAUUUAGUUUGCGUACGAGAAAAUUAAUUUCUUGGGUAAAUAUCUUUACUAUGGUUGUUCUCAAGGAGGAUUGGAAGUCCAUAACUGAAGGAAGUCCUCUAUUUUUUGUUUAUAUAGUAGACGCAUGUUUUCUGGA